CAGCCGCCGCGGGAAUACGUAGGUGGCAAGCGUUGUCCGGAAUUAUUGGGCGUAAAGGGCUCGCAGGCGGUUCCUUAAGUCUGAUGUGAAAGCCCCCGGCUCAACCGGGGAGGGUCAUUAGAAACUGGGAAACUUGAGUGCAGAAGAGGAGAGUGGAAUUCCACGUGUAGCGGUGAAAUGCGUAGAGAUGUGGAGGAACACCAGUGGCGAAGGCGACUCUCUGGUCUGUAACUGACGCUGAGGAGCGAAAGCGUGGGGAGCGAACAGGAUUAGAUACCCCUGUAGUCCCUGUCUCUUAUAC
rnacentral:rRNA from 1 species